GACGAACGCUGGCGGCGUGCUUAACACAUGCAAGUCGAGCGGUAAGGCCCUUUCGGGGGUACGACGAGCGGCGAACGGGUGAGUAACACGUGGGUGACCUGCCCUUAGCUCUGGGAUAAGCCUGGGAAACGUGGGUCUAAUACCGGAUAUGACUCCAUGACGCAUGUUGUGGGGUGGAAAGCCUUGUGCGGCUAGGGAUGGGCCUGCGGCCUAUCAGCUUGUUGGUGGGGUGAGGCCUACCAAGGCGACGACGGGUAGCCGGCCUGAGAGGGCGACCGGCCACACUGGGACUGAGACA
rnacentral:rRNA from 1 species